CUACGGGUUGCUGCAGUGGGGAAUAUUGGACAAUGGGGGAAACCCUGAUCCAGCAAUGCCGCGUGUGUGAAGAAGGCCUGCGGGUUGUAAAGCACUUUCGGUUGGGAGGACUGCUUCUAGCACUAAUAUUGUUGGAAGUUGACGUUACCUUCAGAAGAAGCACCGGCUAACUCCGUGCCAGCAGCCGCGGUAAUACGGAGGGUGCAAGCGUUAAUCGGAAUUACUGGGCGUAAAGCGCGCGUAGGCGGCUAGAUCAGUCGGGUGUGAAAGCCCCGGGCUUAACCUGGGAACUGCAUCCGAUACUGUCUAGCUCGAGUACAGGAGAGGAGAGUGGAAUUCCACAUGUAGCGGUGAAAUGCGUAGAUAUGUGGAGGAACACCAAUGGCGAAGGCAGCUUUCUGGCCUGAUACUGACGCUGAGGCGCGAAAGCGUGGGGAGCAAACAGGAUUAGAUACCCGUGUAGUC
rnacentral:rRNA from 1 species